GAGUUUGAUCCUGGCUCAGAACGAACGCUGGCGGCAGGCCUAACACAUGCAAGUCGAGCGGACCUUCGGGUUAGCGGCGGACGGGUGAGUAACGCGUGGGAAUAUGCCCUUUGGUUGGGAACAACAGCUGGAAACGGCUGCUAAUACCCGAUGAGCCCUACGGGGGGAAGAUUUAUCGCCAAAGGAUUAGCCCGCGUUGGAUUAGGUAGUUGGUGGGGUAACGGCCUACCAAGCCGACGAUCCAUAGCUGGUUUGAGAGGACGACCAGCCACACUGGGACUGAGACACGGCCCAGACUCCUACGGGAGGCAGCAGUGGGGAAUCAUAGACAAUGGGCGCAAGCCUGAUCUUGCCAUGCCGCGAGAGCGAUGACGGCCUUAGGGUUGUAAAGCUCUUUCACCGGUGAAGAUAAUGACGGUAGCCGGAGAAGAAGCCCCGGCUAACUCCGUGCCAGCAGCCGCGGUAAUACGGAGGGGGCUAGCGUUGUUCGGAAUUACUGGGCGUAAAGCGCGCGUAGGCGGGCUGUUAAGUCGGGGGUGAAAUCCCGGGGCUCAACCCCGGAACUGCCUUCGAUACUGGCAGCCUAG
rnacentral:rRNA from 1 species